AGGAUGAACGCUGGCGGUCUGCUUAACACAUGCAAGUCGAACGGAGUAGAAAUACUUAGUGGCGGACGGGUGAGUAACGCGUGAGAAUCUACCUUCAGGACGGAGACAACAGUUGGAAACGACUGCUAACCCCCGAUGUACUGAAAAGGCAAAUAUUUAUAGCCUGAAGAAGAGCUCGCGUCCGAUUAGCUAGUUGGAGAGGUAAAAGCUCACCAAGGCGACGAUCGGUAGCUGGUCUGAGAGGACGAUCAGCCACACUGGGACUGAGACACGGCCCAGACUCCUACGGGAGGCAGCAGUGGGGAAUUUUCCGCAAUGGGCGAAAGCCUGACGGAGCAAGACCGCGUGGGGGAAGAAGGCUCUUGGGUUGUAAAACCCCCUUUUUCUCUUGGGGAAGAACGCAAUGACGGUACCAGAGGAAUCAGCAUCGGCUAACUCCGUGCCAGCAGCCGC
rnacentral:rRNA from 1 species